GGCCCGCCAGCGCCGCGGGGGAGCGGGGAGGGGGCGGCUUGUGCCCCACCCAGCGGUGGCCCCGCCCCCGCAGCCGACCCACGCCCACCCCCUGCCCCACAAGGGCCUGCACCCCAUGGCCCCUGUCUAGGUCGUCCCCGGGCCACCCCUUCCCCAGGGCCAACCCCUCGGAGAACUCUGCGACAACCCGCGACCCGCACGCGAACCCCUCCCCAUCGCACCCCGCGGCUCCUAGCGAACCCUCCUCCUCCAAGCGCGGCACCUCCGUCUUGUUCCCGGAGCCUGCCUCCUCCCUCCCUGUAAGUCCCCCUCGCUGACUUCUCUAAGGCCACCCCGCACCCCGCCUGAAACCCUGCAGACCCCAGCACCCCCGCCACCCGGGUCCACCAGCUUUCUUCACCUGGCCCUCCAAGCUAAUAAAACACCCGGCCAACAGACAGCUAUUUCACCAUGCCCACCCCCACAGUCUGGCUGGGGCUCGGGCCCUCCAGCACCAUCAGUCCAGGUGACCCUGUAGUAACAGUCACAGGACUGAGCCCCGCAGCCAGAGCUGGUCCUGCACAGUUCCCCUCUUGGGCUGUGUAAACUCAGGGUUCCCUUCCCACACCCAUGUGGGACGCAGGUCCCUUCAGCCCUGAUUAAAGAAGCAGGGCUUUGUCCCCUAGCAGGCCAUUCACAUCUGGCUCUGGAACACAAACACACACACACACACACACACACACUAUCUAGCCCCUUCCAGACCCUGCCACUGACCCCUCCCCAGGGCCUCUCCUGACUCUAGGCUGAUGAAUCAGCCUUGCUGAGCUCCGGGGUGGUGAGAUCACCCUGACCCGUGCAGUAGCUGGUUGGAAUGGGUCUGUCACUGCCUCCCAAGAAAAGGAACAGACAGGGUCUUAGUCAUCUGGAACAGGGGUUUUGGAGUCAGAUCAACCAAGGCUCCAAUCUGGCCUCUCCCAUUCCCUGGCUGUGUGAUCUUGUGCCUCCCUAAGUCUCAGGGUCUCCAUUUCUUGAAAAUGAGGAUAUUCCUGCUUUACAAAGUGGCUGAGAGGAUGAAGAUGCAAAGUACGUGGCCCUCCUACCGUCUAACCACUGAUGCAUGGUAGUGGUAAAUGGGAUGAGAUAGGUUGAAAUCUUUUGUACCCAACUUGUCACUUGGGCCUUGGGAUUAAAUUAUCAAGAAAAGAGGUGGCUUUGGGAAAAGUCUACCUCCUCAAAGACCAGAGAGUUCCAAUCCAGAAUACAGUUAUGAUCUGAGGCCUGGGGACCCCAGCUGUCCAAUCAGGGUCAGCCUCAUGCCCCUGGGCGUGUGCAAAGCUGGAAGGCAACCAUCUUGAGCCAGAUUGUGGACUCUCAGUUCACUAGGAAGGGGCUGUCAGGUUCCAGCAACCCAGCCAGCCUUUCCUCACCAGCCUCAGGCCGCCAUCUCCUACCCUGUGUCCUACAGGAAGCAACUCCAGAAAAUCAGGGUCCAAGUGCUCCCAUUAAAUCAUGGCCAUGGACUCAGGAUCCUGAUACCAGUAUGCAACUUGGCCUUAAAGAUCACCCAGGACUCAUUAAAACCCAGGAGGGAGCCGGGUCCAGUAGUGCAGGCCAGUAAUCUCAGCUACUAGGGAGACUGAGAUAGGAGAAUAGUAAAUUUGAGGCCAGCCUGGGCAACAAAAAAAUAUAUAAAGGCUAGAAAAAAUAGAAGGCCUAGAACCUGCCUCAACCUCAUCUCCGUGGUCCACACUCCAGCUCCAGGCUCUACUGUCAGGAUUGCUUCCCUGCCAUGCCCAGGACAGGGAAGCUGGUACAGAGGUCUCUGUGUCUUGGUCUCCCACAUGUCCAUCUCCAAGGGAUGGAAAGCAUCCAGGUGACUGCCUUCAGAUAAAAGCAUUCUUGGUGUCAGAGCCCAUGGGAGAACAGGGAUGAGAGCUCCGUGUCCCCUGGGAAACCAGCUUCAGUUCUGUAGCAACAGCUUGUAAUUACACCAACCAGGUGGGUAGUAGAAAUGAUGAUUAAGGCAUGAAUGAAAAAUGAAAGACCCCUUUGAUUAUGCAUGCUGGAGAUUUGGUUCACUGCAAGCCCCUGGGAUCAAUCCCCAGUGCCAUUCCCCCAAAAUACCAUAUACUUUAUGUCCCCAAAAUAUUAUACAUCCCAAGAAGAAUUGUGUCCUAGGGGAUUCCCUUUAGGUCACCAAAGACUGCUCCAGAUCUGGCCUUGUCCCUCUGAUUGUCAUAGCAGCUUACACAGCAGAGCCCUCUGGCUUCCAUCAGCAGUGUGUGUGGCCUGAUUUGUGUGCUUUAUAAACACAGCUCACCAUGGUAGGAGGCAAGGACCUGCACAACCACAGCUGUGUGACCACAGGCCAGACGACUCACCCUUUGAACCCUGGCUCCCCUGCUGCCCUGUGAGGGGGAUAAUAACCUUGGCUGGGCCAUGGCCCAGGCUGUGGGCACUCAGCUACACCCCUCCUGGUGAGAAUGAAUGAGGAACUGACUUGGACCUGGGGCAUACAUCAUAUAGAGAUCUCAAGGUACUGGGUAUUGAACUCAGGACCCUGUGCUUGCAAGGCAGGCUAGGUGCCACUGAGCUAAAUCCCCGGCCCAUCAACAUCACCAUCAAUAGAAGCUGAAGAUCCACCCGUGUGAUGUGCAGGCCCCAUUUCCAGGACUCUGUCCUUUGGGAGUGCUGUCCCAGGGCCCCUGAGAUACACACACAGAUAUGUUUAUGGUUCAUGAGCUACAGAGCAUGGGAAACCACCCAAGUGUUCCUUAGUAAGGGGCCGGGCAGUCAAGUUUCAGCACAGCUGGACAACAGCAAACCCACACAGCUGUGAGAAAGCAUGUCCUGGGAAGCCAGGUGCAGUAGCACAUGCCUAUAGUCCUACUUACUUGGCAGGCUCAGGCAAGAGGCUCAGGCUCAGGCUCAGCCAACGUCAUUCUGGGCAAUGCAGGAAGACUACAGCUCUUAAAAGAAAUAGCAGAAAUGCGUCCCAAAAAGAAGUGAAAAAAAGCUGUAAUCCAAAUAUUCUGAGAGGCAGAGGAAGGAGGAUCACAAGUUUGAGCCCAUCCUGAGCAACUUAGCAAGACCCUGUCUCACAAUAAAAAAUUAAAAGGGCUGGGGUUGUAGCUCAGUGUGAAGGCCCUGGGUUCAAUCCCCAGUACUGCCCAAAACAGCAAGCUGUGGUAUAUAGGAUCCCAUUUUUGUAAAACUUACACAUAUAUGUACAGAUAAUUGUGUAUCUAAACACAUAUAUAAGCAUAGAAUUUUGUUUUGUUUUUUGAGACAGGGUCUUGUUAUAUAGUUCAGGUUGGCCUUGAACUGUGAGCCCAGGCUGGCCUCGAAUUUGUGGCAAUCCUCCUGCCUCAGCCUCCAGAGUGCUGGGAUUACAGGCAUGUGCCACCAUGCCCAGCUACACAUAGCAUUUAUUUAUUUAUUUAUUUAUUUUGGUACUGAGGAUCAAACUCAGGCCCUUGCGCUUGCAAGGCGGGCAGCGAAACCACUGAGCUAAAUCCCCAGCCCAUACACAUAGCAUUUUAAACAUCAGGAGAAAAGGGUAUGGGUCCAAAUGGUCUCAGAGGGCAAUCCUGGCAGUAAGACUGGGGGCUACAGCACAUUCUAUUUUUACAAGUAAUUAUGGUUCGAAUUUAUAACGACUAGUACAUGUAACUUUUUCAGAUAACAGCUGAAUUGAGAUAUAGUUCACAUACCAUAAUAUUCAGCCUUUUAAAAUGUAUGGUUCCUGGUUGCAAGACUCACAAAGGUCAUUCUUUUCAGCCCACUGCCUAAAACACAUAGACUUUGUUGUUAAUAAAAUAUUUUCUUUUUUUUUGUAUUUAUUUAUUUUUCAAUUCAGUUCAUUGGUACAUUUUAGGUUUACAGUACAGUUACAUUCAUCAUUGGGAUCUUGUACCUUCACAUGAUGUAUCUUGGUUCUUAUUUUUUCCCCAUUCCCCUGCCCUCC